GUAAAUAAAUAGUAUCCCUAAAGGCACCAGAUCCUAUCUGAUCUUGGAAGCCAAACAGGGUCAGUCCUGGUAAAUACUUUGAUAGGAGUCUGCCAACAAAUCCCAGGUGCUGUAGGCU
rnacentral:rRNA from 1 species